rnacentral:misc_RNA from 1 species
AAACCCCUCAACACCUCGGUGUUGGCUUUGGGCCCUUUCUUUCCGUGUCAAAGCGGAUGGCCUGGAAACGAGCGGGUGGAGGCCGGUUGGCAGCAGUAGUCCCCGAUGGCUUUAUAUUCAUAUUCAGUCAGCGAACGACGGCUCCAAGCGGUGCUUACCCAAAAACAGCCCCAAAU